UCAGAGUCCGGGCCAUGCUGCCUGUCCCUUGUGUUGGGACUGAGCUCCUCUUGGAGCCUCCACCAUGGCUGUUGCCUCUCUGUCUGUCUGUCUGUCCAUGUCAUCUAUAACCUUUAUCAUAAACUCUGUACUCCCUAAAAGCUGUAUCCCAUUAUAUGGAUGUGCCAGAGAGUAUCAGUCCUGCCGAAGGCCGUCUUGUUUGCUGUGUGUUUGAACUGUAGAAAUCAAACGUCUACAGACAUCAUCAAAGAGAUGCAAUAAAAGUCCAGCUUGGUUGGAGGAAAUGCCAAACUCAAACCUCUCUCUCACAGCAGCUGCCCAGAUUUGUAUUCUCGCUAGCAGAGUACGAGAGGUUUACUCAUCUUUUUAUUCCUGGUUAUUAUACAGCUGGGAGCAUUAACAAGUGAGUCUCAGUGUGUACAGAAUUUUAUGGGUAUGUGUGAGACUGUCUGUAGAGUAACGUUUCAAAAAGAUUUUUAUCUGCAAUGCUUGAAAAUGUUCAUUUCCACACCUGCAUCGACUGCGUGCUACUAAGCUUUAAUAUUUUGGCAAUUUGACAAGUGAAAAAAAAAAAAAGGAUGACUCCUGAAGGCUUCUACUGUGAGAGAGUGAGGUGGUGCUCUGGCUGUCUGGGCGAGGUCUUUUCUCUGGUGACUCUCAAGCUGUGCAGUAUUGGGUACGUGACUGACUGUCUCUGGGCUUUGGUCCCUCCACCUAUAAUGUGAAGAUAGCCAUGAUUCUUGCCUUGUUAACUGGACUUGAGGACUCAAAGGUAUGCAUCAUGUAAAAUGCUAACAUAUCCUGUCUUUAAGUAAGUGGUGAGUUAAUGAAUAUUAUUGUGUAAUAUGUUUAUGACAAUUUGGGCUUCUUAGCGUAUGAUUGGGUGGUUCAUAAUAAUUUCCCGUUUUCUCUGGAUUCUUCUUUUGCAUAUUAACUGAUUAGAGCUCUUUGUAUUUUAAUAAAUUUCAUAUAUACC
rnacentral:lncRNA from 1 species